GAAUUGCAAGAGCAGAAGGGUAAAGAAGGAUUCAGAAAAGCAGUGUGGGAUGAGUUUAUGAAGACUGUCAAACUGUACAAUAGCAAAAGUGACCAGGAGGAGGAGGAGCUCGACAUAGAAAUGAGUGCCCUCAGUGAGCUGACUGAUGAAGAUUUCAUGAAAAUAAUGACUAGCAUUUCACACUCAAUGUCUGGAGAGGAUGAAAACCAAGCACAGUCACUUGGCGAUGUCCCCGAAUUUGAGGAUUUGGUGGAGAGCGGAGAUGAGAUUCCUAUACAGGAACAGAGUAACAUGAACAGCAGAAUAAAAUUAGGAAAGGAGUAAAACAGCCACUGUGCCAUUGUCUAAGGUCAGCCCCAACAUGUGAACUGCCUGAUGGUGAAAAAGAAGAUCUGAACUGGGGAAGGGGAAGCAAAAACAGCAGGGGCCUCCCCAACUCAGUAGCCAGUCCCUGACAUGAUCCUACACUCAAGUCCCUUAAGAUCCAUACUAUGAUAUGAACUCCAAAGCAUGUUCACACUAAUAAAACCUUACUGAUACCUUAACCCAUGCUCUCAACUCAUUUACAUUAAUGACUGUCAGAAUAAAUUUUAAAUUUAACUUUG
rnacentral:lncRNA from 1 species